UACGUAGGGGGCUAGCGUUGUCCGGAUUUAUUGGGCGUAAAGAGCGUGUAGGCGGCCAGGUAGGUCUGCUGUGAAAACUCGAGGCUCAACCUCGAGACGUCGGCGGAAACCAUCUGGCUAGAGUCCGGAAGAGGAGAGUGGAAUUCCUGGUGUAGCGGUGAAAUGCGCAGAUAUCCGGAGGGACACCGGUGGCGAAGGCGGCUUCCUGGACCGACACUGACGCUGAGGCGCGAAAGCUAGGGGAGCAAACGGG
rnacentral:rRNA from 1 species